AACAAAAUAAAUCAUCGUAUUGUUCAGAAUAUGAGAGACCCCAGAAAGAAAGUGAUCUCAAUUCUGCUGUGCGCAAAACUUCUGCAAAAGAGGCUCCAGAUGCUUCUGGUGCCAUCAUUUCAGUUCUCCAAAGCUCAGAUAGUGAAUAUGGUGAUGAUUAAUAAGAGCAGCUUUUCACAGCAUAACAUGAUGAUUAAUUAUGACUGAU